AGUGAACGCUGGCGGUAGGCCUAACACAUGCAAGUCGAACGGCAGCACAGUAAGAGCUUGCUCUUACGGGUGGCGAGUGGCGGACGGGUGAGGCAUACAUCGGAAUCUACUUUUUCGUGGGGGAUAACGUAGGGAAACUGACGCUAAUACCGCAUACGUCCUACGGGUGGGAUCAGGAGAGCUUCGGACCUUGCGCGAUUGAAUUAGCCGAUUUCGGAUUAGCUAGUUGGCUGGGUAAAGGCACACCAAGGCGACGAUCCGUAGCUGGUCUGAGAGGAUGAUCAGCCACACUGGAACUGAGACACGGUCCAGACUCCUACGGGAGGCAGCAGUGGGGAAUAUUGGACAAUGGGCGAAAGCCUGAUCCAGCCAUACCGCGUGAGUGAAGAAGGCCUUCGGGUUGUAAAGCCCUUUUGUUGGGAAAGAAAAGCAGCAGGUUAAUACCCCGCUGUUCUGACGGUACCCAAAGAAUAAGCACCGGCUAACUUCGUG
rnacentral:rRNA from 1 species